AUUGAACGCUGGCGGCAUGCCUUACACAUGCAAGUCGAACGGUAACAGGUCUUCGGAUGCUGACGAGUGGCGAACGGGUGAGUAAUACAUCGGAACGUGCCUAGUAGUGGGGGAUAACUACUCGAAAGAGUGGCUAAUACCGCAUGAGAUCUACGGAUGAAAGCAGGGGAUCGCAAGACCUUGUGCUACUAGAGCGGCCGAUGGCAGAUUAGGUAGUUGGUGGGAUAAAAGCUUACCAAGCCGACGAUCUGUAGCUGGUCUGAGAGGACGAUCAGCACCACGGGGACUGGAACACGCCCCAGACUCCGACGGGAGGCAGCAGUGGGGAAUUUUGGCCAAUGGGGGCAAGCCUGAUCCAGCAAUGCGGCGUGCAGGAUGAAGGCCUUCGGGUUGUAAACUGCUUUUGUACGGAACGAAAAGCCCUGGGUUAAUACCCUGGGGUCAUGACGGUACCGUAAGAAUAAGCACCGGCUAACUACGUGCCAGCAGCCGCGGUAAUAC
rnacentral:rRNA from 1 species